rnacentral:lncRNA from 1 species
UCGUUUGGGGCGGAGCAACUGGUGAAAGUUUGACUUGGGAGCUGGAAAGUAAGAUGAGGGACUCUUAUCCUGAGUUGUUUGUUUGAGGUAAGAUUUCGAGGACGAAAUUCAGUAAUUUGGGGAGAGUUGUAACACUCUAAUUUUUAUUUAAUUAUUUUUAAUUGUGUGGUGUCAUUUAUGUGAUUUUUGGUGAUUUAUGUAGUGUAUAUUUAUUUAUUAUAUGAUUAUUUUAUUAAAUAAUUAAAAUAAUAUAAGAAUAGGAUUAAUUAUUAUUUUGGGGGUUAUGAAAUAAUUAACAUAAUUAGUAGGGAGUUAAUUGCUAAUUAGGGAGUGGGAGGUUACAUUUUGGGAGUUGAGAAAAGGAAAGAAAAAUAGAGAAAACAGUUUUACGUGAAAACAGUCUGGUUUUGGGAGAAAAGCUAGUGCAAGGGAGAGAAGCUUAGGAAUCAUUGCUGCUGUAUUUUUUCUGCAAUUCUAAGGUAAGGGUGAGGUUUACCGCAAUUAUAUAGAUUCUGAAUGUUGAUUGUGUUCUAACAGGUUUAUGUGAGGAUUUGGGAGAAAUUGGGUUUUUGUUGAUUAAGGAGUUUUGAGUGUAGAAAUCAUAGAAUUGAGGGUAGAAAUGGGUUCUGGGUGCAUAAAACCUUUCAUUGCAUAUCUGUAAGCUAAUUUGGGGAGUGAAUUGAGGAAAAAUGGGAUUUUUGGGGAAAACCUGCAUUCUGCCCGUACUGAAGUUCAUCGCUCGCCUCGCGAGUAGCCAUUACUCGCCAUAGCGAGUGAACAACUUCAUCGCUCGCCCCGCGAGUGAUACAGCUCGCCAUGGCGAGUAUCCUUGUGAAAAUCUGGAUUUUGAAAAAGAUGUUAUAAGCCGUAUUUUGGGUAGUUUCGCGUACCUAGAUGAUUUUUAAGAGGACUAGAGCAAGUUUUAAGUGUAAAAGAUGAUUAGGGAGCUUAGAAUUGAGGUUUGAGUGAGAAAAAUGUCAUUUUUCCCGAGAGCACCAUAUUUCUGUUCGCCUCGAGUUCGCCUCCAACUCGCCAUGGCGAGUACCUGUUUUUCUGAGCUCGCCAUAGCGAGUAGAUGAGCUCGCGAGGCGAGCUGCCCAGUAUUUGGUUGGUUAAUUUCUGUUGUUGUUUGGAUUGUGUAUUUGGUUGAAUUAUUGCAUGGCUUGUAUGUUGAUAUAUAUUUCCCUGGACGUUUUGGUUGGUUUUGAUGAAUGGAUGCUGACUGAAUGAAUGUUGUAUUUAAUUAAAUUCCCUUAAAGGUGUAAGUUGGUUGGUGAAUCAUAUAUAUGUAUAUGUCUAGGUUGGUUGGUAUGUAGAUAUACUCUAUGAGGAUUAGUUGCAUUAACAUAACAGUGGGAGAGCUUCGGCUCUGGAAUGCUUAGUCGUUCAAAGUGGUGGAGUACUAGUUACUCAAAGUGGUGUAGUGGUGAGGACUUAUGUCCUGUUGAGAAUGCUUUAACCAUUCGACAGCGGUGUGGGUCACGGCCCUGAUUUUUGGUACCACAUGCAUGGGUGUUUAGAGGAGUCUUAGUGGAGUGGUGAUAAGUUGUAUAUAUAGUUGAGAGGUGUAUGAAUUAAUAUUGUGAUAAGAUGCGAAAAUGAUGUUAUGUAAAUAAUAAUGUUGAUGAUUUAUGAUAGGGUGUUAGAUUCAAUUGAUAUAUUCUUUAUCUAUAUUUUGUUGUGAAUCUCACCCCUUCUGCUUGAAAAUGUUGCCCUUCCUAUGGGUAACUUGCAGGUGAUCCUGAGUAGUUGGUGGUGGCUCAAUGUGUCUAGGACUCUGAUGCGUGGGUUGGGAUUUAUAGUUUAAGUUUCUACCUAUGUAUCAAAUUUUGGAACAAAUUAAUGUAGUCCAUGUUUUAUGUUGAAUUUUCAUGUUGAGGCUUAAUGCCAAGAUUAUUUUGGAUAAUGGAGUUUAAUUUAAAGAAUAUUCCGCUGCAG